rnacentral:rRNA from 1 species
GUCGGUUAAGUCCGCUAACGAGCGCAACCCUCGCUGUGUGUUAUACGUGUCACACGGGACUGCCGGUCUUUAAGCCGGAGGAAGGUGGGGAUGAUGUCAAGUCAGCAUGGCCUUUAUAUCCUGGGCUACACACACGCUACAAUGGCCAACACGAUAGGUUGCUAAGCCGCGAGGUGGCGCCAAUCCAUAAAGUUGGUCUCAGUUCAGAUUGUAGGCUGCAACCCGCCUGCAUGAAGAUGGAGUUGCUAGUAACCGCAGGUCAGCUAUACUGCGGUGAAUACGUUCCCGGGCUU